GCAGGAGCCAUUUUUGUCAGCGUCCAUCACAUCCAUUCCUUUCAUGCAUCAGAUGCGCUAUCGAGUAAGCUUGAACCUGCAAGAACAGAACUACAAAAAUAACAACAAUUUGGUACUAUAAUUUAAGACAGAAGUACCCAUGAGACCCCAACAUCCUGGCAAGCUACUCGUGAUAAAGACCGAAAUAGAGGAUAGGUUAGUCUUUUUCAGACCCGGGGUACUUGAAGAUCAUCUUGAUCAAGCUGGCGUCUAUUCUCUGGGUAGCAAGGUUAAUGGUGCUAGGUUAGUCCUCCAACUUUCGAAUUCAUGCACUCAGACUAUCUCAGGAGCAAGGGCAAGCAUGUUUAGAAUUAAAACAAAUAACAAAGCUUGCCAAAUACUCGUAUUAUGGGAUAUCUUUCAGUUGUGAUAUAUAUGAGGCGGGGUAAUUCGGUAGGACAAUCUCAGCCACAUAGAUGGUAUAGCCUUGGUCAAGUCUUUGUUUAUUCCAGUAAUCCAGUUCAUUCAAUGGAGCUCUUAAUUAACCUGCUCAUGUGUUAAUGCAAUGCUUACUGCUUAGCAAUUUUAAAAUAAACCAUGGUGGUUUUCCCUUCUUGACAGUGGUACCAGGCUAAAAAAUUAACAAAACUAGAACUACAAUUAAUUUGGAAGAGACAAGGUACAUACGAGUACUCAGAAAUAGAAUUCCAACCAGCUAAUACCAGCUGCUAGAUUCAUUUCUAUCAACGGCACAACCAAAAAAGUCGUGCAACCUAAGAUUCGGCCCUACAAAAUGGGUUAAAAGUAAACAGCUAACAAUUAACAGAGAUGUUCGCAAAGAUCACAAGGUUUUCGCCCACCCUCGUUUGCACACAAACCCACAGAGUUUUGGCGAGUGAGGACGGGUCGACAAGUGAAGGAGGACUCCAGCUGCUUCCAGGCAGCUGCCAAACGCUGCCAACUUCAGCUUGUCCCCAACAACCAGGUACCUAGAUGGUUGCUGACUCAAGAUUCUGGGUCUGACUGUAGCUAAAAAUCAUAACAGCAGAUCAGGAAUGAACAAAUUAAGAUGUGCAAUCUAACGAUUUCACGAAAGGCAAACAUAAAACAAAUUCACAUUCCACAUCAGCUUCAAGAAUUUUGUUAGGCAGAAAAAUUAAUCAAACAACAGAUUAUGCACAUGUACAGAUUCCUUUUUUUUGGAAGACUCGGUACAGGUACAAAUUUGGAAGGGACUAAACAAGCAAACAAGCAAACAAGCACCGCAAGCAAGUCUGGUCCUAUCAAACAGUCAUCACUACAGAGCGUGUUAGGCUGUUUUUAUGCUGACCGUUGAAUGAUUCAACACACAGAUGCAGUCCCUGUCGGCAAUCCCCUAUCAUUCUUCCAUGCUGUUAGCUGUCACAGGAGCCCUGUUGCAAGUUUGCAACUCAAACUCUGAUUCAAGUUAACGGUGCAAGAAAAAAAUCAUAACACAAAUGGCAGUGGCGAGUACCUCUCCGGCUCUCUCUCUCCCGCCUCUCCUUCUCGUCCUCCUACUCCUCGCUGCCACCAGCGAGGCCACCAAAUUUAGUGUCAUCAACCGAUGCUCCUACACCGUGUGGCCAGCCGCUGUUCCGGUUGGUGGUGGCGUGAAGCUCGAUCCGGGGGAGACGUGGGAGAUGGACGUUCCCGCUGGCACCAUGGGCGGGCGCAUCUGGGCACGCACAGACUGCUCAUUCCAGGGCGAAGGCAACGGGUCGUGCCAAACUGGCGACUGCGGCGGCUUGCUUGCCUGUAAGGGCAAUGGUCAGCCGCCCAACACGCUGGGCGAGUUCACGCUUGGCCAAAACCAAACGAACGACUUCUUCGACAUCUCCCUCCUCGACGGCUUCAACGUGCCCAUGGAGUUACUGCCGGUGCAGGUUCAGGGAAGGUCAGGGUGCGGCAAGGGGCUGCGCUGCGCAGCCAACAUCACAUCACAGUGCCCGGGCGACCUGAAGGCUCCGGGGGGUUGUAACAAUGCGUGCACAGUGUUCAAGCAGGACAUGUACUGCUUUAAUGGAAGCAAGACAAGCAACCCCACAAAUUACUCGAAAUUCUUUAAAUGGAUGUGCCCAGAUGCCUACAGCUACCCUGACGAUGGUUUCACCAGAACUUUCAAUUGCCCGUCAGGUACCAACUACCAGGUCAUCUUUUGUCCCCUUUUUAAUCAAGCACUAUCGCCGACCCAGGUAACACCUCCGACACCAAGUACUCUGCCUGCAGCUACCGGGCCAACAAGCAUGAAACCGAAAUCCUCUGCUACAAGAAGAAUUGUUGCAAUUCUAGCUCCUGUAGGCGGCUUCAUUUUGCUCACCAUCGUGUUCCUCAUCAUCUUCUUUAUAUGUAAACGAAGAACACAACGACAACAUGGGAUGGAAGAAGAGGAAGAGUUUGGGGAGCUACAAGGAACACCAAUGAGGUUCACAUUUCAACAGCUAAAAGCAGCAACCGAGCAAUUCACAGACAAGCUUGGGGAAGGAGGAUUUGGGUCUGUUUUCAAGGGACAAUUUGGUGAUCAAAGGAUUGCAGUGAAACGUUUGGAUCGAACUGGUCAGGGCAAAAGUGAAUUUUCGGCAGAGGUUCAGACAAUUGGCAGCAUUCAUCAUAUUCAUCUGGUGAGAUUGAUUGGUUUCUGUGCAGAGAAAUCCCAUAGGCUCUUGGUAUAUGAGUACAUGCCCAAAGGAUCCUUGGACAGAUGGAUUUAUUGUCGACAUGACAAUGAUGCCCCUCCUUUAGAUUGGAGCACGCGGUGCAAGAUUAUAACUCACAUAGCUAAGGGCCUCUCUUAUCUUCAUGAGGAGUGCACAAAAAGAAUUGCUCAUUUGGAUGUCAAACCGCAAAAUAUUCUCUUAGAUGACAACUUUGAUGCUAAACUUUCUGAUUUUGGACUAUGCAAGCUCAUCGACAGGGAUAUGAGCCAAGUGGUUACCAGAAUGAGAGGCACACCUGGAUAUUUAGCUCCUGAAUGGUUGACAUCACAGAUCACGGAAAAGGCGGAUAUCUACAGCUUUGGCAUCGUGGUCAUGGAAAUCAUCAGUGGAAGAAAGAACCUUGACACUUCCCGGUCAGAAGAGAGCGUCCAUCUCAUCACCCUAUUGGAGGAAAAGGUGAAGAAUGAUCAGUUGGUAGAUUUGAUUGACAAUAACAGUAACGACAUGCAAGCACACAAGCAAGAUGUAAUUCAGAUGAUGAUGCUUGCAAUGUGGUGCUUGCAGAUUGAUCGCAAAAAAAGGCCUAAAAUGUCGGAGGUGGUAAGAGUAUUGGAAGGUACCAUGAAAGCAGACCUCAACAUAGAACAUGAGUUUGUUGUAACAACUCCGGCAAAUUUUAGU
rnacentral:lncRNA from 1 species